GACCUGAGCGCGUCUGGUGUGGGUGGACAAAAAAGCACGAGUGCGGAUCGGGUACUGGCUAGAGGCGGAGAGGGUAGUAAGUAGGGCUGCACGCACCAGUAGAUAACAGUAGCCAGAAAAUACUGGGCCGGUACCAAAGGAUACAACCGCCAGUUGCAAUGAAGGACAUGUGUUUCCGGUGUAAUGACACAAAGUGCCCAGAGGUGACGAAAUGUUUUGAUCAUAAUGAUGACCUGAACCAGAAUCUGCUGAUGGUGCCAGGUCCUUUCCAGCAAUGCACAUCCACCCCCUAUCCUCCUUCUGGGAGGUGCACCAUGUGUAGUCUGGAUUAUUAUUACACUGUGUGCAGAAACGUCUCAGAGAGCUUCCAGCCUGCCCUGGAGGCCAACAGCACAGCCAUUACCAACUAUGAACAAGCCAAUUGCCUUGUCAUCGGCAUCGCACCAACUACUGUGAAUGGUUCAGACUUCACUGGAGCUGCUGCUCAAUAUGGACAUCCUGGGUGGUGGUGUUUACUUAUCCCUGUCCUGGUCGUUGUUUGCAUUGGCAUCAUUACUUACAGGUGUAUCAAGAAGCGCAAAAUAAAAAACUAUGUCAUAUAAGGCACUCAGGACUACCCAUCCCUUAACCAAGCUAUUUGGACCCAACCCCCAGAGAAAGUGACAGGGACAGCACUCAGGACUACCCAAACCCCCAGAUCAGGAUGCUGCUGCGUUAUCUCUGCCUUAAUUCCAUCACUUUAACUCUUCUUCUUAAAGUUGUAAUCUUUUAAUACGUUUUCAUAUUCAUAUUCUUGUAAAUCAGUACCGUUAAACCAGUGCCUUGGAUAAUUUUUGGUCCUCUAAUACUGACACCAGCCGGCUAAAGCCUACUCUUAUUCUUAGGAAUAAGUAUGGAAAUACAAAUGUUUUACCCAUGACGCAUCUACCAGGGUAUUUUGAAUGGGGCAAAAAAGGAAAAUAUGUCCAGUUAUUAAUCAAGCAGAGAUAAGCUUAUUCAAAAGUUGAUGCACUUUAACCCACCAAUGAAUUAUAAUUUACACAUGUUCUAUAACACCCAUUCCACCUUUGAAACUUCAUAUGAGUCUGGUCUGCACAUGGCUGAGGGAGGAAUGUAGUGAUUUAUAAUACAAGUUAUUACCAUCAAGAUGAUGGUACAGGACCCCACUACUGAAAAUCAACCUGGGUUCAUAAAUGAUUUGUGCCAUCCAUCUCCCUAAUGAAAAGGAUUUAUCCUAGCCUUCACCACCACUGUACUGUAUGUAAAAGCAUUAUGUUGUACUGUGCUAUUUGUCUAUGUCAGUACUGUAUUUCUAAUGCUAGUGUUUGUGAAAUGCAGUAAGUCUAUUUACAAGUAUAUUUAUGCUGUAAAGCAGGGUUUCCCAAAGUCAUUUAAAUUGGUUAUUUGAAUCAGCUGUGUAGUGCUAGGGCAAAAAAGAUAUAUGGACCCAGGGUGGGCCCCACAACUGAGUUUGGGAAACCCUGCUGUACAUUAUGAGGCUGUAAUACUCUAUUCUAUACCAGUACUCAAGUGUUGGAGAAAAGCAUCAUGAAAUAUUUACUUCUCUUUCUCAAAUAAAUCUUUAUAUAAAUGAA
rnacentral:lncRNA from 1 species